GGAAGAAGAAAAAAGACAGAAAAGACGCUGAAGAAGCGUCUUUUAUUGUAUAUGUUCUGCCAUUGUAUAUGUUCUGAUUGUCAUUUUUAAUAAUCAUAAUAACUGCUAUAGUAAUCAUUAUGAUGUUCCCCUAAUUUUUUUCCUCUGUAUCCUGGGCACUUGGUAGCAUUGUACUCUUUGGCCCUCUUGUGGGUAUAUGUCCCUGGAUCUGGCCAGUGGUUUAUGAGGAAGAGUGAUGUGUUUGACUUCUGGGCUGGGGGGUUUAAUCAUCCAUACUAGUUUCUGCAGAGUUCUUUUCCUCUAUCUCAGGGGCCAGCUAUGCCCCAGACAAUGGCUGCCCUCUCAGCCUGGGUCCUAGAGGAAGGACAAUGCAAAGUAGAGCCUCUAGCCCACCUGCAAUGGGCCCAUCGCAAGUAAAGAAUAAAGCACCCUUCUAUAUUUGGAGAUACUUUAUUGAUGCGGCAAAAGCUUAAUAUGUUUUGACUGGCACAAUAGUUCACUUCUAUUGAGUAUUUACUAUGUUCCAGGCAUGUGGUAAUUAUCACCAGUCCCUAUGGACAUGAGAAAUUAGAAAUGUCAGAGGCUCCUUCCAUCUACCCACAGCCCCCCAAAAUGAUUUUAUCCAAGGCUUUUGUACCAAUGGGCACUUGCCUACGGAUGUAUUUAAAAGCAGAUUGCCUCACUGUAUGAUAGAUGUCCUAUGGGUUUUGAG
rnacentral:lncRNA from 1 species